rnacentral:rRNA from 1 species
UACGGAGGGUGCAAGCGUUAUCCGGAUUCACUGGGUUUAAAGGGUGCGUAGGUGGGCAGGUAAGUCAGUGGUGAAAUCUCCGGGCUUAACUCGGAAACUGCCAUUGAUACUAUUUGUCUUGAAUACUGUGGAGGUCAGCGGAAUAUGUCAUGUAGCGGUGAAAUGCUUAGAUAUGACAUAGAACACCAAUUGCGAAGGCAGCUGGCUACACAAAUAUUGACACUGAGGCACGAAAGCGUGGGGAUCAAACAGG